AUUGAACGCUGGCGGCAUGCUUUACACAUGCAAGUCGAACGCGAAAGCGGGGGCAACCCUGCCGGUAGAGUGGCGAACGGGUGAGUAACACAUCGGAACGUAUCCUCGCGUGGGGGACAACCAGUCGAAAGACGGGCUAAUACCGCAUACGCUGGAGACGGGAAAGCAGGGGACCCGCAAGGGCCUUGUGCGCAUGGAGCGGCCGAUGUCUGAUUAGCUAGUUGGUGGGGUAAAGGCUCACCAAGGCGACGAUCAGUAGCUGGUCUGAGAGGAUGAUCAGCCACACUGGGACUGAGACACGGCCCAGACUCCUACGGGAGGCAGCAGUGGGGAAUUUUGGACAAUGGGGGCAACCCUGAUCCAGCCAUGCCGCGUGAGGGAAGAAGG
rnacentral:rRNA from 1 species